AUUGGACGCUGGCGGCAGGCCUAACACAUGCAAGUCGAGCGGAUGAAGGGAGCUUGCUCCUGGAUUCAGCGGCGGACGGGUGAGUAAUGCCUAGGAAUCUGCCUGGUAGUGGGGGAUAACGUCCGGAAACGGGCGCUAAUACCGCAUACGUCCUGAGGGAGAAAGUGGGGGAUCUUCGGACCUCACGCUAUCAGAUGAGCCUAGGUCGGAUUAGCUAGUUGGUGGGGUAAAGGCCUACCAAGGCGACGAUCCGUAACUGGUCUGAGAGGAUGAUCAGUCACACUGGAACUGAGACACGGUCCAGACUCCUACGGGAGGCAGCAGUGGGGAAUAUUGGACAAUGGGCGAAAGCCUGAUCCAGCCAUGCCGCGUGUAUGAAGAAGGUCUUCGGAUUGUAAAGCACUUUAAGUUGGGAGGAAGGGCAGUAAGUUAAUACCUUGCUGUUUUGACGUUACCAACAGAAUAAGCACCGGCUAACUUCGUG
rnacentral:rRNA from 1 species